AGCAGCCGCGGUAAUUCCAGCUCCAAUAGCGUAUAUUAAAGUUGUUGCAGUUAAAAAGCUCGUAGUUGAAUUUCGGGGUCAGUAGGUUGGUCAUGCCUCCGGUAUGUACUGGUCUCACUGAUUCCUCCUUCCUGAUGAGCCGUAAUGCCAUUAAUUUGGUGUUGCGGGGAAUCUGGACUGUUACUUUGAAAAAAUUAGAGUGUUUAAGGCAAGCUAACGCUUGAAUACAUUAGCAUGGAAUAAUGGAAUAGGACGUUCGAUCCUAUUUUGUUGGUUUCUAGGAUUGACGUAAUGAUUAAUAGGGAUAGUUGGGGGCAUUAGUAUUCAAUUGUCAGAGGUUGAAAUUCUUGGAUUUAUUGAAGACUAACUACUGCGAAAGCAUUUGCCAAGGAUGUUUUCAUUAAUCAAGAACGAAAGUUAGGGGAUCGAAGACGAUCAGAUACCGUCGUAGUCUUAACCAUAAACUAUGCCGACUAGGGAUCGGAUGUAUUAGUUUAAUUUUUAAUGACUCAUUCGGACG
rnacentral:rRNA from 1 species